GGCAAGACAAUCUUAAUAACAGGGGCAAGUCGUGGAAUAGGCAAAGCAAUUGCACUAAAACUAGCAAAAAACGGGGCAAAUGUCUCAAUUGGGUCAAAAACCGUCAAUCCACACCCAGUCCUACCAGGCACUAUAUACUCCACAGUAAAUGAAAUAAGUAAUGCUGGAGGGAGAGGACUGGCAUGUGAACUGGAUAUUCGCAACGAAAAUGCUAUCGAACAAGCUGUGGAAAAAACAGUGGAUACUUUUGGAGGGAUUGAUGUGCUUAUUAACAAUGCCAGUGCCAUCACUUUGUCCUCACUUGAAGACCUGGAAACUAAGAAACUAGACCUAAUGCUCAACAUCAACAUACGCGGCACACUACUUUGUAUAAAACAUUGUAUUAAAUAUUUAUUAAAAUCUUCUAAUCCUCAUGUUAUCAAUCUGAGUCCCCCUCUGCCCCUUCAUCAUAACUGGUAUCGGACUCACUCAGCUUACACUGUGACCAAGGCGGCAAUGUCAGGUCUGAUCACCGGACUGGCCAAGGACUACAAGAGCAGAGGAGUGGCCUUCAAUGCACUGUGGCCCAAAACUACAAUAAAAACCGCGGCAAUUGAUAUGGUUUGUGGCGGGAAAAUCGAGGCGAAAAACUUUUGUCGGAGUCCGGAGAUAAUGGCAGAUGCCGCCUUUGAAGUUUUGAAGAAAAAUAGCAGGGAUUUUAGCGGGAAUUUUUGCAUAGAUGAAGAAAUUUUAAAAAGUGCAGGAAUUGUGGAUUUUUCUAAAUAUAAUUAUA